GGCCUAGAGAUCCCAAAGACCUAGGGUCAGUCAAGUGGCUGGCUGGGUGGGACUGAAGAGGGGCUAAAAGAAAUGAGGGUUCCCUGACUUUAAAAUCCACCCCUUAGGGCUCAGUUUGUUUAUGUGAUAAUUCCCAUCAAAACCUACAUGUGAUUGGUUUGAAAAACAAAACAGAAACAACAAAAAACCAUCUAAAUUGAGAGUUUGGAGGUUGAGUGUAUAAUUUAAUAAGCUUCAAAGUAGACUAGAUUCAACCCAUUCAUUCAAUCGUUACCUCAUACUCCAUAUAUCCUCCAAUGUUAGGUGCCACAGGGUAAGACAAUGAAUAAAAAUAUACAGUUCCCACUCUCAGGAAGCCAAAAUUAGGUCAGGGGAGACAGAAUCUACAUGCAAAGUUAAAUAACAAUGUCACAGACUGUAAGGGUGCAUUAACUUCCUCAUUACAUGAGUAAGCUUCAUAGUAAAAAGCCUUGGCAGUAAACGCCAUGAGUUCAGAAGAGAGUCGCCCUGGAGCAGCUGGAGUAGUCAGGGGAGGCUUCCAGGAGGAGGCCCCGAGCGGGGCGCGGCAGGAAGGCCUGGUGCCAGAAGGGACGACCCGCCAGGAAGGGGCGGACGCGGGUUGCCGGCGCAGGAGGAGGCGCGGAAGCUCGGGCCUCGCAGCCCCACGCCCACUCGGUCCAGGACCCGCCCUGAGCCUCCGCCCGUGUGCGUGCUGUUUCCGCGGCCUGGAAUAGUCCUCCUCUCCCCACCCAGCCAGUCCUGUGGGAUCUUAUUUCCCCCUCCUAGGAUAGAACCAAGCAAGGGGAUCCAACCAGUCCACCCUAAAGGAAUCAGUCCUGAACAUUCACUGGAAGGACUGAUGCUGAAGCUGAAACUCCAAUACUCUGGCCGCCUGAUGCGAAGAACCGACUGAUUGGAAAAGACCCUGAUGCUGGGAAAGACUGAGGGCAGGAAGCGAAGGGGACGACAGAGGAUGAGAUGGUUGGAUGGCAUCACCGACUCGAUGGGCAUGAGUUUGAGCAAGCUGCGGGAAUUGGUGAUGGACAGGGAGGCCUGGCAUGCUGCAGUCCAUGGGGUUGCAAAGAGUUGAACCUGUGCCCCUUAGAGUGAAAGCAGGGAGUCUUAACUACUGGACCGCCAGGAAGUCCCCAUAACUGUUCAAUAAAUCCCUUUCACAUGAAUUUUUGUUUUAGGAUUUGCUUCUGGGACAUCCCACCUGAGACUACAAAUCCUUGCAGCUACUUUUUACUGCGCAUGUGCGGUAGGGGCACUGUUGCCCGAGGCUACAGAUUAAGCUCUCACUUAAUUUGCACAAUAACCCUAUUGUUAUCACCGUUUCUCAGAAGAGACAAACAAAGGCCCAGAGAGGAGCAUGCAGAGAAUUAAGAUAAAUCCGGCACGUGCAGAUGUUGGUGACGAGCUGAUUGUUACGCACCAUCAGGGAGGAGUCAGUGUCCUUUUCUGGUUCUAGUCCUGGCGCCCCAAGAACAGAGCUGGACACGGGAUGCCAGCCUCUCCAAUGGGAUUCCGUGUUUCCUGCUGUGCUAACCUGCAUGCGCGGGUGAUACUUGAGGCUCCAGAGGCACACUGUGAGGGAAGAGAUGCUCCCUGCCCUUGAGGAGCUCUAAGCGUGAGAGACUGAGACCAGCGGGAAGAAGGAGGGAAGAGCGGCCCCUGCAGAUCCCACCCUGGAAACUCUGAGGGCCACACCCUGCCUAGACAUCCCUCUGACACAAUCCUUCAGCCUCACCCGAAUACACGCUCAGGUUGCUCCGAGGUCCCCUCUCUCACCCUCUCCUGCUGGAUCCGGAGGGAGCUGGGUCUCUAAUUCUGGGUGACCAAUAACAAUAAAAUGCAUGAAUGGCAACAGUGGAAAGAAUGACUAUUUAAUAGCUGAGCGUAAUGAGUGGACGAUGAGCCCUGGUUUCCCUAGCACUUGCUCCACAGAACAGAGAAGAGGAAAAAUAUUGUUGUUACUCCGAGAGCUAAUCACAGCCUCCACAUUCACCUCCUCACAAGACAGGAGGGCCAGUGGCCAAAUCAGAUGUGGCUUAAACAGAGCUGUGA
ensembl:lncRNA